CAGCAUUUCUCGUCAGUAUGCAAACUACAAACAGGUCGAUGAAAUCCUACUAUCAUUAAAGAUUACACGGGUAAAAGUAGAAAGAGGAAUCGGACAACUGAAAAGAAGGUGGGGUGUGUUACAUGGUGAAGUAAGAAUGAAACCAGAAAGAGUCUGCAGGAUUAUUAUCUCCUGUGCAGUGUUGCAUAACAUCUGCAAAAAUCUGAACAUCCCGAUACCUGAUGAUUAUCCAGUAAUACAGGAAGAUGAUCAGAGCGAUGAUAACAACAACAUGAAUGCAGGAUUUGCACAUAAUGAACUGCGUUACCGGGAUCAAAUUGCUUAUACAUACUUUUAGAUGAUAUAAGAAGUUACAGGUUUUUGGUAACAACUCUAUAGCAGCAAAUAAUAACAUAAUGGUAACAUCUUUAACAGCUUAUUUUUUAUGCUAUAUUCAAGGGGCUAAU